ACAGUUUCCAAUUAAAAUAAAAUUGACACAGUUGAUGUUCAAGUCCAUUGGAAAAAUUCUGAGAGGUGGGAAGGAAAUCUUAGCUUUAAAACCUGUGUGCCAUUGUGAGUUACUUGAUCCUGUAACUCCGACGCCUUUUCUUUAUAAAUCCAACCUUGGAUAAAAGUACUGGGAACUUCUCUGCUAAAAAGUCCCUGACUUAGCACUAUUCACAUAAAGGCCAUAAUUUUAGUAGCAUUGCUGAGUGGGGACCUUUUGGGUUGAGCUUAUUUUACCUUUUUUUUUUUCUUUAAUUCCUGGUGCUCCUUUAUCACCUUCUCUAAUCUUUUAAUGUGUCUGUUUGCAAUAUGGGGGUUAGACUUUUUAUCAUUACCUUUUCUUUUCCUUGGCUGUACAUUUACCUUUUUCACAAAUACUGUAAGCUGUCCUGCUGCUUGCAGGACUACAGGGCCUGGGCAGGGCCCCCCAGCAACAAUUCACCCACAGUGCACCUGCACAUGCCUUUCCUACAUGCUUGCUCUGUCUCGAACUAGUCACAAUCUUGUUUUAAGUGCCUUUUCAUUUUGACAGUGCUAUUAACUGAAGUUAUUUAUUAAAAUAAAAAGGCCUAAAUACAUU
rnacentral:lncRNA from 1 species